CACACAGUAGUCUAGACUCUUUCACUCUCUCUAUUUCUUCCUCUUUCUCUUUAUUUCAUUGAGGUACCCCUUACUAUAGGGUGGGUCGAGGUUCCUCUACUCACCUAAGUGUUCAGUGCACUCGUUCUCCAUCAAUCAGCAGAUGAACUAGCGCCAUCUGGUGGUGAAGAAUGGUGGACACAGUGCCCAGCCUGCCUCAACCUUGAAGAUUCAUCUGACCUGAACCCGGGAGAGGAGCAUGAACAGCGCUGCCUGCAUUGGACAUGUCUGUAAAGUUGUUGGUUAUUAAACUCUUUAGACCUGUUCAUCACAUUCAUUACUUAUCAUCCUUAUCAUCAUUAUUACACUGAUAAUGAACAGCCUACUGUCUCUGUGGGUUUGUCAUAAAAGGCCGACAUCUGGCCAUGUACAAACACACUUAAC